UAUUCUUCCUUCACACGCCAUUCAAUCCUUAUACUAGUGCUCUUUCUGAAACCCUAACUGCUCUCACGGCAUUGCAUCGUGCUGCUCCUUCUGAAACCCUGACUGCGAAUAAAAUCAUCAGAUCCAGUCCAUCGAUCCUUCGUGUGGUUAAAGGUAUUGUGACGUGGUUGCUGGCAUCGAACCAGAUCCAGUCAUCCGCAUUGCCACCUGGCAGCGGCGGUUUACAACAGGUCUGGUGUUCAUCGAACCAGAUCCAGUCAUCCAUGGUAAAUGUUGUCGGUCAGAAUUCGAACUUGCUUGAAGAUCUGACAUCUAUUAUUCGAUCGAUUAGGUUAUAAAAGGUUUUGGUUAAUAGGUAUAAUCAGAUCUUAUAUAUCCUUUCCCACACAACGACAAAUCAAUACCACAUUUUCAAAAAAAAAAAAAAAAACCCUAAAUCCCAAAAUCUCAAUCUGCUACAUCUGUUUACACUGAUUCAUCAUUGAGAAUUGAAGGUAUGUUGUUAAUUUCAUUCUUUCUAUGAUUUUUAUUAUUAACGUAAUCAACCUUUGUUAAACACAGAGGGGUUCACUUUGUUAUGGUUUAUGGUGGUGGUAGACAGUCAUUAUGGUGAAAGGAUUUUUUUUAAAGGUCAAGUGUUAUUUUCCAAUAUAAUUUUGCUACUACAAUCAAAUUACAAGUAUAAUUAGUUCCUUAAAGUUUGAAGAACAAGACUUGCCUUUGAGAAAACUCGGUGAAUACUCUUCAAAAGGUACAAGGUAAGACUUCAUCCGUUUAUACGUUUUUUUCCACAUUCUUUGAAGCCUGGUAAAACAGUUUUUUUUUUUUUUUUUUUUUUUUGAAUUUUGACUUUUGAUUCAGUGUUGCAGGUGUUUGAAUCACAAUGUCGAAAGAGUGUGUAAAAUAAUAUGCCAUAUUAAAUUAUUAUUUACAAUCUGGUUAUUAAUUAUAAUUUUAAGAGAGUGUUUGAUUCACUUUUAAAUUUUUAGUGUUUAAUUCACAAUAUGUAUGCAUUAUUUUAGACUUUUUAGUUUCGAGAAAGAAUACUUGAAUUACAUAGAUUAUUCUAUUGAUUGGUUUACAACAUGAUGAAAAUAAGAUGAUUCAAUCGAUUGUUUGGUUUCCGAUUAACAAGUUACUGUUCCUUUUCUAGAAUUGAAUAAAAAAGUCAUUUUUAAUUUAAAUCUUUAACUAGAAAAGCCACAUCACUAUUUUUAUGAUUAGAAAACAGUUUUGAUUAUGAUGGGUGGAGGUCGACAUAAUAGUUUGAAUACCGCGGGUCGGAUCCAAUCCAAUGAUGUUUCAAAAAUAUAGGUCACUUACCAAGAUUAUAAGAACCACAAAUCUUUGUAUAAAAGUUAUAUACAAUUUAUAUAUUUUGAGGUGAGCUCCACUUUUGUACAUUGACAUUUUCUUUGCAAUAAACUCCUGGUUAAUGUUAUCCCUUUAAAGGUUUAUGCUGAGCCACAUGUAGAGAGCAUGAAGAUUGCAUAUUUUAGAAUUCUUCAAAUGCAUACUGCCUAUUCUCUUGAUCAGGUAGAUGGUGAAUUUGGGGGGAAUCAUUCUAAAUACUCUUCUUUCUUUUGGACGCGGGAUCCGGCUGAGGAUUUGGGUCAACAAUCUGGAUUGUAUAUAUCAUCCUUGCUUACUUUUCUAUUAUGUUUGGGUAGCUAUAUGUUGUCUUUUUUACAUUUAUUUUAUAUGUAAUUUAAAUCAGUGGCGCAUGUUAGAAGGGGUCGGGGCGCCCGACCCCCCGAACUUUUCACUCAGUAGUGUUAUAUAUGUAGCUUCCGUAUAGAAAUUUUUGGGUAUAUAGGUUUUCGACCCCCGGUUCUAUAGAAAUUUUUGGGUAGCUUCCACACUUACUAACUAACCUUGAUUUCUUGGGCAACUUGACAUGGAACACACUAUUUUGGAGGUUGAAAACUAUGAUAUAUGCGUUAACCAUAACAAAGAGAUCAUUAAUAAAAUGUAGGAUCAGGCAAUUCAGGCUACAAGAGCUGCUAGGGAUGCAGCUGUGAAAGAAGCGGCCCAGCUGCAACAACCAAUCAUCCAUGGAUACAAAACACCAAAAUAAUAUCCAAACGUUACUUGAAGGGAAACCGUUAAAGCAAGACUCAAACAGUUCUUUGUAAUGAAGAAGUUCAAGAAAAGAGUAUUAAGGAAAAGUUUGAGACUCGGAGCGUUAUCAUUGGGCUGCUACACAAGGGGUUAAUGAAGAAGUGCUAAUGGAGAAUUUGCCUGAAGACCUGCAAAGAGAUAUCUGACGCCACCUCUUCAAAUUUGUCAAGAAAGUCCGCAUUUUUGCGUCGAUGGAUGAACCGAUUUUAGACGCGAUAUGUGAAAGAUUAAGGCAAAAGACAUAUAUAAAAGAAAGAACAACCUCAUAUGAAGGAGGGUUUGUGACAAAAAUGGUUUUUAUUGUAAGAGGGAAAAUGGAGAGCACAGGAGAAGAUGGGAAUGUGGUUACGUUAUAUGAAGGUGAUGUAUGUGGUGAAGAACUCCUCAUAUGGUGCCUUGAAACUUCCUCUCUUAAUGGAGAUGCAAGGACACGGGGAAAGCCAGGUACAAAUUGGUGUGCCAGAGGACAGUGAAAUGCUUAUUAAAUGUGGAGGCAUUCGUGCUUCGCGCUGUAGAUCUUGAAGAAGUCACCACCCUUUUUGCUGGAUUCUUGAGGAAUCACCGCCUUCAAAUGGCAAUAAGGCAUGAAUCUCCAUACUGGCGGGGCUUGGCGGCAACCACCGUUCAGGUGGCAUGGAGAUACAGGAAGAAGUUACUUGAUUUCAUAAGUUGUAUUAGAUGAUGUAUAUGUCGCUACAAAUUUGUACAAUUCGGCACCAUGGCGUAAAUGCUUAUAAGCUAUACGUCUUUGUUUCGUUGUUAAGAGAAGUGGAAAACAUUUGAUAAUGUAUUAUGUUUUUUUUUUGAAGCUAUUUAAUGUGGUGAAGUUAAAUUGAUAUUGGAACUACUCAUAUUUGAAUCUA